rnacentral:rRNA from 1 species
CGCGUAGGUGGAUCAGUUAGUCUGCUGUGAAAGUCAAAGGCUCAACCUUUGAAAGCCGGUGGAUACUGUUGAUCUAGAGUACGGAAGAGGCGAGUGGAACUCCUGGUGUAGCGGUGGAAUGCGCAGAUAUCAGGAAGAACACCAAUAGCGAAGGCAGCUCGCUGGGACGUUACUGACACUGAGGCGCGAAAGCGUGGGGAGCAAACAGGAUUAGAUACCCUGGUAGUCC